UUUUAAGUAGCUUAAAGCAGAGCAUAGCAUUGAAGAUGCUAACGUGAAAUUUACUAUUUCCUUGAAAA
rnacentral:tRNA from 1 species